UCGGGAAUUUUGGGCAAUGGGGGAAACCCUGACCCAGCAACGCCGCGUGAAGGAUGAAGUAUUUCGGUAUGUAAACUUCGAAAGAAUAGGAAGAAUAAAUGACGGUACUAUUUAUAAGGUCCGGCUAACUACGUGCCAGCAGCCGCGGUAAGACGAGGGAUCCUAGCGUUGUUCGGAAUUAUUGGGCGUAAAGCGGGUGUAGGCGGACUUAUAAGUCAGGUGUGAAAUCCCAGGGCUCAACCCUGGAAGUGCACUUGAUACUGCAAGUCUUGAGUGUGGUAGAGGCUAUUAGAAUUCCUGGUGUAGUGGUGAAAUACGUAGAUAUUAGGAAGAACACCGGUGGCGAAGGCGGCUCACUGGAUCGGUACUGACGCUGAGGUGCGAAAGCGUGGGGAGCAAACAGGAUUAGAUACCCCCGUAGUCCCUGAGCGGGCUGGCAAGGCGCAU
rnacentral:rRNA from 1 species